rnacentral:rRNA from 1 species
GUGAACGCUGGCGGUAGGCCUAACACAUGCAAGUCGAACGGCAGCACAGUAAGAGCUUGCUCUUACGGGUGGCGAGUGGCGGACGGGUGAGGAAUACAUCGGAAUCUACUUUUUCGUGGGGGAUAACGUAGGGAAACUUACGCUAAUACCGCAUACGACCUACGGGUGAAAGCAGGGGAUCUUCGGACCUUGCGCGAUUGAAUGAGCCGAUGUCGGAUUAGCUAGUUGGCGGGGUAAAGGCCCACCAAGGCGACGAUCCGUAGCUGGUCUGAGAGGAUGAUACACCCAAACUGGAAUGAGAAACCGUCCCAACCCCCGCAGGGGGGCAACAUGGGGAAAUAUUGAAAAAUGGGGGGAAGCCUUAUCCAGCCAUACCGCGUGGGGAAAGAAGGCCUUCGGGUUGAAAAGCCCUUUUGUUGGGAAAGAAAGGGAGCAGGUAAAUCCCCCGCUGUUCUGGCGGUACCCAAAGAAAAAGCACCGGCUAACUUCGU